rnacentral:snRNA from 1 species
AUAAAUUUCAAAAGAUCUUUGCAAAUGUGAUUCUUCUAACAAGCCAUCGAACAAGCAUUUAAACAGAACAGAAUCAUGCUCUCUUCGGUAGCACAUAUAUUAUACUAAAAGUGGAGCGAUCCAGAGGUUAGCAUGGGCCCUGUGCAAGGAUGACAUGCACAUUCGUGAAGCAUUCCAUAUUUUUAAAAGUCUAAUAGAAAAUUUGAGAAAGAAUUUUAAAAUGACAAAAUCAGCCAUUUUGCAACAUAUUCCGCAAAAAGAUCUACAGGCUUAACAGUUUUCAUAAUAUACAGUGAAGUUUUCAACUUAAUAUAUCCUGAAAUGUAAAAACUAUCAGGAUUUUUUUUCACAGGGUGACAAUGGCAGCGCUCAUGUUCCUUUCAAACCCCUUCAGUGUCCGACAAUGGGAGCCAUACCAGCUGUCUGAAGCAAAGGCUUGGAGGGGAACAUAAUGAAAAUCACUGUUUUCUCUCUGAGUAACACAUUUUUAAAAUGAUGUUGUCCUUUCACAGUAUAUGCUGAGCAUAAUGCUUAAUUAUAAAGUAUUGAAACAUGAACUCCAGUGUGAAUGCUAAAGAACUGUGGUCUCUGUUCACAUUGUUAUAAAAGAGACAAGUUUAUUUUAACGAGAACCGUUCUAUGCAUCAGGCA